AGAGAGGUAAAGAGUUAGUGAGGACCCGGCUCUUUGUGAGCUCCUCAACGAAGAUGUAGCUUCGUUUGUGGAAGUGAACUUCGGUAAACAAAUUCCUUGUCUCAAGUGCUUGUUGUGUUUCUAUAUUUCAUUUUGACCUAGAAGCUUGAUUUCAGCCAAUCAAUAAAUUUGUGUGGUUCCUUGCAUAUCUAUCACCUGCAGUAGUCUAUACACUUCAUUUAUAAUCUUUUGAUUCAAACAGAAUUAGCAGAUUCAGGUUUUAUUUUGAAUUUCGUUCAGCUCACUUUCUGCUGUCGGAACUUCCGACCCAUCAGAAGUUUCGACAUAGCGUCAGAAGUUCCGACAAAUCUAAUACCGCUGCGAAGUUUUUCAGGAAAAUUUUGAAGUGAGCCUAUUCACCCUCCCCUCUAGGCAUCACAAGAUCCUUUCAACCACGC
rnacentral:lncRNA from 1 species